AUAUUGUAUUACGUUUUUUUUUCGAGUGCUGGGCUGGGCCAAAACGUUUUCAUUAAAAUUGCUGCCUUGGCCAAUCUGCGGGCCACGCACAACAAGAGCAGCAGGAAAAUAAAACUAAAAACAAAAAAAAUAAAAAAAUACUCGGAGCUUGCUCCGUAAAAUUGCAAUUUGGCUGGCGAACGAAACGGAGUGGGACAAUUAUAAGCAUGACAAAUGAAUUUCGCAUUGGGGCCGGUGUUCUGAAUUCCCUGCCCAUGCGCAUGCCCAUGCCCAAGUUCCCAGGAAAAACUGUCAGUGGAGGAUCAGUGGCGUUGAGACAGAUCCGAAAGAUCGGAGGUUCAGAGGAUCGGGUCGCAGAUGUUGCCGCUGGGCACACACCUUCAACUCGUUGAGAGAGUUUUUUGCAUCUCCGGCUCGUUCCGUUCCGUUUCGUUUCGUUACAGUUCGUGCGUGUUGCGUUUUAUAUGAAUAAUUGCAUCAAGAUUUCUGCCAACUCUUUUGCGGUCGUCUGUGGCAGCUGCCCCAACGACCCAACUGCCCAACUGCACUGGACACAUCAUCUCUGUGGCCGUUCAAGCGGGGCCACCCGCCCCCUUAUCAUCACACAAUAUCCUUUGGCAUGUCGACGCUUUUUGCAUCUUUCAUGACGAAAGCAUUUCAUGUUUUUGUUACCCGCCCUUUUUUUCGUUGAAGUCUUCACAUCAACCCAUUUUGCAACCAGCCAUGGCCGUCUUCACACAGAAACACGCACAUUUUUGGCAUUCAUAAAAUGUUGCAACGAAACCAGCAAACCAGAAGCAACAAAAAAAAAAGGAAAGGACACAAACGGGACAUGAAAUUGUUUUGCACAUAACAGCAAGCAAACAAACAUGAAAAGGGAUAUGGAUGCGGAUAAACGAAUAUGAUUGCCGCGGCAUGUAAAAAAAGCAGAACUGAAAUACUCUUGCCGCUUAAAACAAACAGGCAUAAAAAAAAAAUGAAACAGCCAAAGGAGCACGAACUGGGCAUUUUGUUUGGUUUUUUUUAUUAUUAUUAUUAUUCUCGCCCUUUGAAAGUAAAUUUGAAAAAAUAUUUUGAUAAAACCAAAAUGUUAUUUGUCUCGUUAAUGUAAUGAAAACGACUUGCUAAAAGGAUUAAAUUUGCAUUGCAUUUAAGCGAAAAUUGUGGGCGUGCAAUUAUUUCGGGUGCAAUAUUUCGGUUGUGGGUUUCAAAAAUUUUGGCACAGAUUAUACUUUAAACUAGGUUUAAAUGUUCUAUGUGAUAUGGUUUUGAUAUU